rnacentral:rRNA from 1 species
UACAGAGGGUGCGAGCGUUAAUCGGAAUUACUGGGCGUAAAGCGUGCGUAGACGGUUAUUUUAAGUCGGAUGUGAAAGCCCCCGGGCUCAACCUGGGAAUUGCAUUCGAGACUGAAUAGCUAGGGUGCGGUAGAGGGAAGCGGAAUUUCCGGUGUAGCGGUGAAAUGCGUAGAUAUCGGAAGAACAUCAGUGGCGAAAGCGGCUUCCUG